GGGUGAUUAGCUCAGUGGUAGAGCGCUUCGUUCACAUCGAAGAUGUCAGCGGUUCAAAUCCGUUAUCACCCA
rnacentral:tRNA from 1 species